rnacentral:rRNA from 1 species
UAGGGAAUCUUCGGCAAUGGGGGCAACCCUGACCGAGCAACGCCGCGUGAGUGAAGAAGGUUUUCGGAUCGUAAAGCUCUGUUGUAAGUCAAGAACGGGUGUGAGAGUGGAAAGUUCACACUGUGACGGUAGCUUACCAGAAAGGGACGGCUAACUACGUGCCAGCAGCCGCGGUAAUACGUAGGUCCCGAGCGUUGUCCGGAUUUAUUGGGCGUAAAGCGAGCGCAGGCGGUUUGAUAAGUCUGAAGUUAAAGGCUGUGGCUCAACCAUAGUUCGCUUUGGAAACUGUCAAGCUUGAGUGCAGAAGGGGAGAGUGGAAUUCCAUGUGUAGCGGUGAAAUGCGUGGAUAUAUGGAGGAACACCGGUGGCGAAAGCGGCUCUCUGGUCUGUAACUGACGCUGAGGCUCGAAAGCGUGGGGAGCGAACAGG